AUUGAACGCUGGCGGCAGGCCUAACACAUGCAAGUCGAACGAGUGGCGGACGGGUGAGUAAUGUCUGGGAAUCUGCCCGAUGGAGGGGGAUAACUACUGGAAACGGUAGCUAAUACCGCAUACUAUCGGAUGAACCCAUAUGGGAUUAGCUAGUAGGUGGGGUAAAGGCUCACCUAGGCGACGAUCCCUAGCUGGUCUGAGAGGAUGAUCAGCCACACUGGAACGGAGACACGGCCAAGACUCCUACGGGAGGCAGCAGGGGGGAAUAGUGCAAAAUGGGAGCAAGCCUGAUGCAGCCAUGCCGCGUGUAUGAAGAAGGCCUUAGGGUUGUAAAGUACUAUCAGCGGGGAGGCGUUACCCGCAGAAGAAGCACCGGCUAACUCCGUGCCAGCAGCCGCGGUAAUUC
rnacentral:rRNA from 1 species